UACGUAGGGUGCAAGCGUUGUCCGGAAUUAUUGGGCGUAAAGAGCUCGUAGGCGGUCUGUCGCGUCGGCUGUGAAAACUCGGGGCUCAACCCCGAGCCUGCAGUCGAUACGGGCUAGCUAGAGUGUGGUAGGGGAGAUCGGAAUUCCUGGUGUAGCGGUGAAAUGCGCAGAUAUCAGGAGGAACACCGGUGGCGAAGGCGGAUCUCUGGGCCAUUACUGACGCUGAGGAGCGAAAGCGUGGGGAGCGAACAGG
rnacentral:rRNA from 1 species